GGCUCAGGACGAAUGCUGGCUGCGUGCUUAACACAUGCAAGUCGAACGGUGAACAGGGGCUUGCCCCUGGGAUCAGUGGCGAACGGGUGAGUAACACGUGGGCAACCUGCCCCUCACUCUGGGAUAACUCCGGGAAACCGGGGCUAAUACCGGAUACGACCAGGAACGACAUCGGACCUGGUGGAAAGAACUUCGGUGAGGGAUGGGCCCGCGGCCUAUCAGCUUGUUGGUGAGGUAACGGCUCACCAAGGCGACGACGGGUAGCCGGCCUGAGAGGGCGACCGGCCACACUGGGACUGAGACACGGCCCAGACUCCUACGGGAGGCAGCAGUGGGGAAUAUUGCGCAAUGGGCGAAAGCCUGACGCAGCGACGCAGCGUGAGGGACGAAGGCCUUCGGGUUGUAAACCUCUUUCAGCGGGGACGAAGCGAAAGUGACGGUACCCGCAGAAGAAGCACCGGCUAACUACGUGCCAGCAGCCGCGGUAAUACGUAGGGUGCAAGCAUUGUCCGGAUUUAUUGGGCGUAAAGAGCUCGUAGGCGGCUUGUCACGUCGGGCGUGAAAACUCGGGGCUUAACCCCGAGCCUGCGCUCGAUACGGGCUAGCUAGAGUGUUGCAGGGGAGACUGGAAUUCCUGGUGUAGCGGUGAAAUGCGCAGAUAUCAGGAGGAACACCGGUGGCGAAGGCGGGUCUCUGGGCAACUACUGACGCUGAGGAGCGAAAGCGUGGGGAGCGAACAGGAUUAGAUACCCUGGUAGUCCACGCCGUAAACGUUGGGCGCUAGGUGUGGGGAACCUUCCACGUUCUCCGUGCCGUAGCUAACGCAUUAAGCGCCCCGCCU
rnacentral:rRNA from 1 species